rnacentral:misc_RNA from 1 species
UUAAGUUCAGCGGGUAGUCCUACCUGAUUUGAGGCCAAAGCUCGAAGAGUGUUGUCCACAAGGGACGGCUGUAAGCAGCGCCAACAGAAGAGGCCUAAGGCAACGACGCAGAUAAUUAUCACACCGUGCCGAGCACUCUAAACAGCGCAAGCUAAUGCAUUUCAGGAUGAGCCAACUACGGCACAAUCCAAAUCCACCAA